UACUUAAACUUUUUAAAAGAACUUGGUGUUUGGACGUGACGUAUGCUUAAAGACCUGUUGUCCUGGCGCAAGCUUCUAGCCUGUCUUCACUUCUUACCAACAUCUCUACAUCUCCCUGGAGCUUCAACCAUGGCUGGCAUUCUUGCUCUUGUGCACCUUCAACAUGCUGAUCGUGUUGAUGAAGCAAGGUUGCCAGGGAGACUGGUCAAGGAUCACCAAAACCCUUUUGCUGCCUACUCUGAGGAGGAGUUCAUUUGGAGGUACCGGCUGUCAAAGGAGUGCAUUCACAUCCUUCUUGGCCAAGUGGCUUGGUAUUACGGAGCCACAUAAUUGAUAACUGGUUUUAAAAUGUGCCAAAUUACACGUGCUCUCCUCUAUCCCAAAAUUGUAAUGCAUAUCAUUUCAAUCUUAAACUCAAUUGCAUCUGUCAUUUGAUACAUUGUUAUGUGACUCAAUACAAGAUACAAGUACCAUGUAGGAUGUAAUUAUAUGAUAUUUUCCUGUGAAGGACAAGACAUGAAAGAAAUGUUUUAUAUAUUUAUAUAUUAACCUCAAAGUGUAGGUCAUGAAAAUAAAUGGAGGUCAA